UACGAAGGGGGCUAGCGUUGCUCGGAAUCACUGGGCGUAAAGAGUGCGUAGGCGGGUCUUUAAGUCAGAGGUGAAAUCCUGGAGCUCAACUCCAGAACUGCCUUUGAUACUGAGGAUCUUGAGUUCGGGAGAGGUGAGUGGAACUGCGAGUGUAGAGGUGAAAUUCGUAGAUAUUCGCAAGAACACCAGUGGCGAAGGCGGCUCACUGGCCCGAUACUGACGCUGAGGCACGAAAGCGUGGGGAGCAAACAGG
rnacentral:rRNA from 1 species